rnacentral:lncRNA from 1 species
CUGCUGUGUCAUGCAGGCCACCAGGGAAAUGGGUGAAAGCUGGCAGUUAUAGGCCUCACUCAGCCCAAAAGGCUGGUUUCACUUUCACUGUGCUCCCUCAACAGCACCAAGUUUAUUUCCAGGCAGUGGGUGAGCAGGGCUGAAAAGCUGCCCCAGGCUACCAGCCUCCCAGCUGAGAAAGCAAGCAGGGCUUUUAGAUUUCACCUCUCCCCACCUACCAUGGCUUCUGUGCUGUGAUUGCACUCCUGAUUCAACCCCUCCCCUGAUUUCUGUCGGGGAAACUUUGCAUUCGGUCGAAAUUGUUACAAAGUUCAGCUGGAAGUUUCCUUCCCUGUGUGGUUUCUUCCCGGUUCCUCUGGCAGCCCUCCCCAAGGACUUCUGAAGGCAGGGAUUUCAACCUGGGCAACAAGUCCACAGAACAUGAGAUUUCUGAAGGUGUGUGGGAUACAUCAUGGUUACAUAAAAAUCCUUUCACUAUAGUUCCUGCUUCCCUAUCUUCAAAAUGAUUCCCUGAAGACUUCCGCCAUGACGGUCUAAAGCCUAACCUCUGAACUGUGGAUGGAAAAUUGAACUCCUUGAUGUGAUCUCUGCACAUCAUGCAACCCUAAACCUAAAUAUAUUCUCUGUGUGGGAGCCCCAUUAUUUUUAGUCUAAUACAUUUUAAGUCAUCUUAAAAAAUUAUAUUUUGUUUUCUUUUAUAUGGUCGAUUUUACCUUGUUUUCUUUGACUAUUACUUGUUGUCUUGUAUGAGAUUCUACUGGUCUCAAGGCUUAAACCUCACAAUCUUCAGGGUCUGAUGGAUUUCUCUCUAUUUUCUAAGUUCCCUGGGAUAUGUUUGAUGAGUUUUUGUGGCAGAGAAGCAGAGAAAGGAGAAAGGUGAUGUCUAUACUACUUCCUUUUUCUCCCCAGCCACAAAUGCCAGAGUCUAUAAAGAGACCCUGAGAAGCAAGCUCUGUGCAGAGUCACUUCUAAGAAAUACCAGGAUAAAAUGUAGGUGAGAGACAUUUGUGUGAAAAAAGGGAUGAGAGAGAGGAGGAAGGAUUGAGAAAAUUUUCAAGGCAGAAAGGGACCUAUAUCUUCUAAUUUGGCAAAAUGGGAGAGGUAGGUAGGAGAUGGGAAUGCUCUCUUAUCUAUCUCGCCUUUUGGAUGGAGAUUAAUAACACAACCCAGGAGAAAGUGAUCCUUAGGAAGCCCAAAUGACUGAAAACAGCCCUCGAGUAUACCAAUUGGACAAGUUGGGGUGAAGGAGACCUAGUUAUUGUAAUACAUAGGUAGAGAUUGUGGUUGUGAGACUGUUGGGUGAUUAACUCAUAGAUGUUCCAAAGUCAUCUGUCAGCUAAAAUAGCUGUCAUUAGGAAUGCUUGAAAGGUUUCAAAGAAUACUUCAGUAGCAAUGAGCAUACCUAGGACCUAGAUCUGGGCUUCUAAAUCUCAUUCUCCACUAAAAGAAUCUGGGUCUCCUUGCACAAGUGGCUGAUUCCAGGUCCAGGGCGUGAAAAGUACAAAGUGAACUUGGAACAUUUCUGUGCCACAAAGCAAGAAAGUGAUCAAAGAAUAAAGGGGACAUGUUGCAAAGGACCCAGGAGCUUGCUUAAAGAGGCUUCCAUUACCUACAUUUGAGAUAAUCUGAGUAUCAUCAUGACUAUUGAUGAUAAUGGAAUAUAACCCAGAUAACAAAAUAAAAAUCUGUAAGUCCAUACUAAUGUAAGUAAAUAAAUGAGGAAAUAAAUGAUGGAGAAGUGAACUCUUUUCCUUAUAGUAGAAUCCCAAAGAAUAAAGAUAGAGAAAAUGAUGGACUUGGAAAAUCACCAUUUGGCAGUCCCUAUAGUAAUAAUUGUUUCAGGUAAAAAUAAACAGAUUCGAAAAUCAGAGUAUGAUGAAAACCAGGAUACUUAAUAUACAUUGUCUCAAAGUAUAUCUCUACAACAUAUUUAUUAAUUUCAAAGAAAAAACUUUCUUUACAUUGGAUAAACCUGAUAGAAAUCACCUCGACUAUAUGAUCAAAGUUCACAUCACCAAUAAUGGGACACAUAGACAUCAUGUGCUUCCUGAGAAGGACAUAACAACAUUUCUAUGAUAUUUCUGUCAAAAAUGCAUAAUCUGAAUCUAAUCAUGAAGGGGUAAUCAGACUAACCCAAAUCAAAGGUUUGUCUACACAAUAACUAGUUUGAAUUAUUCAAAUACUGAGAUCAUGAAAUAAAAGAAAGAAUGAACUGUUUCAGAUUAAAGAAGAACAAACAGACAUGACAACCAAAUGUAACUUGUGAUUCUGGAUUUAUCCCUGGACAAUGUAAAGCACAUUAGUGGGGCAACUGGCAAAAUCUGCAUAUGUAAUUUGUCUACAAAUUGUCCACAAAUUGGAUAAUAGUUUUGGUAUUGGUAAUGGUAAUGAUAUUAUAUCAGUGUUAAUUGUCUGAUUUUGGUAAUUGCACUGUGAUUAUUGAAGAGAAUAUCAUGAUUUUUAGAAACUACAACUGCAGUAUGUAAAGCUAAAGAAAUAUUCUGUCUGAAAUUUGCUCUCUGGGACCUAUAUCUUCUAAUUUGGUGAAAUAGGUAGGAGAGGUAUGUAGGAGGAAUUUGUUUUAGGAAACAAAUUGUAUAUCUUUGUAUAUGUGAAUGACAAAGAAAGUGUGAUAAAAUGAUAAUACUAGAGGAAUACUUGAGAUGCA